CGACAAGGAGCGGAACCCGAAAAGUCGUCUCAGUUCGGAUUGGAGUCUGCAACUCGACUCCAUGAAGCUGGAUUCGCUAGUAAUCGCGCAUCAGCCAUGGCGCGGUGAAUACGUUCCCGGGCCUUGUACACACCGCCCGUCAAGUCAUGAAAGUGGGCAGCACCCGAAGACGGUGGCCUAACCUUUGUGGGGGGAGCCGUCUAAGGUGAGGCUCGUGAUUGGGACUAAGUCGUAACAAGGUAAC
rnacentral:rRNA from 1 species